GAUGAGUAUUUAUUUACACAAUCGCAUUAUUAUUGACAGGUAAAUCACAACCUAACGUUCUAGGAUACUUAUAUCCCGUUGCAAAAAAUGUUCCGUAUUUCUGCCAGAAAAUACGAGCGACCACGCCUCCACCCCAUCUGGAUCCGCCGCCGACCGGCGUCCUCAACCACGCCAUCCACCGCCGUGCCGUCCUCCCCGCACCGCAGACUGCCUCCUCUCUGUCGUGUCCUCUUCCUCGCGCCGCCCGAGUCCUCCGCGCGCGGUUCGCCGACGCCGAGGCCCAGGCCAGCCUGCUCCGGGCCCGCGCCACCGACCGCGACGGGCUGCUCAGCACGCUCCUCGCCACCACGGGCAACGACCGGGAGGUGGAGGACGCGCGGGAGGCGGGGUAGCGUCAGAAUCAGCGCACGUCGGAUCCGGCAUGCUGCUCCGCUCCCUUCCCAAGUCGCCCUGGAUCUCGCGAUGCUGGAGGUGGCCGCCGUCGUUGCUAUGGAGGGCUCGCCACCCGCCUUCGGAGUCCCAUGUCCCCGAGAUCGACUGGAUUGCCAAGCCGAGGUCAUCAUCUUUCGACAGGCUCCUCCAUCACUUCUGGUUUCCCACAGUGGCUAUGGGCUGCCUCUCCCUCUCGAUCCUGCGCUCCUCCUCCUCCGGUUCAGGUUUCAGGCCGUGGCAGAGGGUCGCCUCUCCAUAUCCAUCCUUCCAAUCUGGAGCACAGGUGGAGAGCCUGGCUGUGUGCGGCGGAGAUGGCGCCCGCAUCUGCGCCCUAUAAGCCCGGACAAAGCUCCUCCGAGGCCAUGACCUCCGCAGGUAUCGAUCUAAAAAAGGCCGACAACCCAAUGGAACCUCUCCCUGUCUCUUUCUUCUGCAUCUUCCUCAUACUAUCCACUGGAAUCUUAGUUUUUGUUGUUAGAAUAAAUCCGAGGCAUACCGUCGAUCAUCCGAGGACCAAGCAAUCACACGAGCACAACACCGAGAUUUGUUAACGAGGUUCACCGAUAUGGCUACAUCCCCAGGGCUUGACUACGGACGCUCCUCCCCGUGACACCGUCACAAUACCGCACUCUGGCCACCCGGGCGCCGGCACACGCCGCCGGCUCCCCCUUGCGCGCCUGUGCUAUUAUGUUGGCAUAGGUUACAUCGUGUGUCUACCCCCGCUAUAUAUGAGAGGUCUAGGAUACAAGUGUCCUACUAGAACACGACUUCAUACCCUGUAAACACAAUACAACUACAAGUCCAACUGUAACCUACCUUGUACACAAUAUUCGACACAACUCUAACAUUUGUAGUUAGCUAGCAAAGACUCAAUUGCUGCAUUUUUUGACUGUACAUCUUCAUAUAGGAUUCGAUAGCCAUGCCCUGGAGAGAAAGCUCACAAAUUAGUGCAGUUAACAAGAAGCAAUUGAACCGAAGAUCUUACAAGAUGGCUUGCAAAUCUAGGUAUCAAACAGAAUUUCGGUAAUAUAUAUUAUGUAUACGGUACUUGGAAGGGAUGCUUACCAGGUAAAUACCACUUAAAAUCUAGGUCCAGUAACUAUCCAGUUGCAGAUUCACUGCAAGUUUGUGCGACAGAUAUACAUAUAUAUAUAUAUAUAUAUAUAUAUAUAGAUCAACUAGGAUUUAGGUUUAACUCUAUGGUACAAUUGAAAGACUAAGGAGAAGAGGGUGGAUUGUACUACCUGAUUGCUUGCUGUACAUCCGAAAGAGAUUCAGUUGCUCUGAAUAUUCUGAUUUGCCACAUGGUCGCCGGUGUGAAUAGCGCCUUCAUGAGCGAAUCUUUUAAUGACGUAAUUACCAUCCAGCCAUCCUGCCUUUCCAACGAACAACAUACAAGCUUUGUUCUCUGAAGUUUAAGAAUAGUGCAACCAUCUUGCCUUUCCAAAGAAUAACAUAUAUAUUAUUAACCUUAAUAGUGCAGCCAGCUAGCUGUAGUGCACUUAUCUCUAAGCCCAGCUCCUCUUUAAUCCAUAAACUUAUCCGUAACCAAAGGCUAGACGUAUAUUCAACUAAUUCUAUUCAUUGAGUUGAGUUUCUUACUUCGGUAUGGCAUGAGGUAUAGUAAGUUCCAUUUCAAUGUUCCAGGGACCACUUCCAGUAAGUUUCCACUCGACAUCAGCAGUAAUGUCCACUACCUGUAUCAGCAUGGUUAUAGCGGUAGAUAAUCAGGGCAAAUAUCAUAAGCAAAUUACAACUUUAGAAUCUCUGAAUUCUAAUAGAUUUCUAAUAUCCUUCAAAACAUGAUGUGUGAGCGCUCUUUAGAUAUUCCAGUAAGUUUCUUUCUACAGGUGUUCUUACAUCUCCUGAAUGGAUGAUUCUCUUUGCAUUUCGGCCGCUUGGCCCACUUCCGAUGAUCCACUACAUCAUCACUGUUUGGUAACCGGAGGGGAGGCCGCAAGGCGGGACAGCCAGUAGCGGCAUUUUGUUCGGGGAUGCGUGGAUCUGGUGAUGCUGGAGCUUGGGAACAGGAAACAUCAUAUCCGCAAUGGCGUUUCAAAUAGCCAAUUUACCUUUCUCCCUAAAGGAUUCUUGCUCUGCUGUCAGUAUCACUGGUCUUGGGGUUUAGAUUUUGUCAAUAUCAAAAUCUGGGUACUUACCAGCAAACGAGUUGUUGAUCUAUUUACUUAGUCAAGUUCAUUUCUGCUAUGUUCUUCAGUCAAGCUUCAACUUCUAGCCUUGAUUAAAUGGCAAUGAUAUUCUCCAAAACCUACUAAUGUCAGAAAUCCUGCUACCCAACAGGAUGGUCUGCCAAGUGAUGUGAGCACUACUCAGUGUGUGGCAGACGUUCAUUAGGAAUGCAAACAAGAUUUGAGAUGUAGGUGUUGGUCAAAUUUUGGAAAAUUAUGGGUCUGCAGGUACAAAAUUACAUGUAGGCAAUUUUACGGUUUUCUGAGAUUAAAGAUUCAAGCAUGAAUGUGAAUAUAGUUCCAUGGUUUUUUUGCUGACAGGUUUUCUUAUAUUUACUUCUCUUUGUAUGAUAUUGGAAUUUAUAUGCUUACUUAACUGCUCAAAGAUAUCUGUUUUGUUUGUCGAUUGGAAGUUACCACAUUAAGCUUGAGUCCAUGUGAAUUGACACACUGUUUGGAACAAAAUAAAACUUAGUACUGUAGUACAGUUUGGUGGUUAAAUUACUCCUUACCUCGACAUUCUAAUAAUCUGUAAUAAGGAUAGUUCGCAUUGGUCAUGCAAGAUCACUUGCGGGAAAUUGGUGGCUUGCUGUUGUUGUGCUUCACAAUUUCUGUUGUUUCUAUUUAUUUUACACUUUUUUAUUUACUGCAAUUUGCAAAACAGAAGUACUAGCAUAACUGGAAUUUCUGUUUGUGUUUUUUACAGAGGGAACAUAGUUUGAUGGGACAGCUCCUGAAUCAAUGUCACAUAAGGCAACAACAUAUUUGGAGGAGUUGAAGGAGUUGAGAUGAGUUGAUCACAUCCUCAUGUGUCUUUGCAUGUUGCAACAGGGGUGGUGUACUUUUUUUUAUAGCAACAUUCCUACUUUAGAUAGAAGAACUUAUGGGGCACAUCAGAUGUACUGACCACUCCUUAGUCCCAAGAACGGGAGUAACAAUUUUUCUCAAGUUCUGCUGAUGUAUUGUACUAGAAGUCUGUUCAUCAAACUGCCUUAUCAACCAUUUGCUAUUAACCCUCAAA